ACCUGGUUGACUCAGUCCAUAGAGCAUGUGACUCUUGAUCGCAGGAUUGUGAGUUCAAGCCCCACAUUGGGUG
rnacentral:tRNA from 1 species